CUUAUUCCGGAGAGCGCCAAACUAAGGUUCCAUUCUUUCCAUGAUGUGCGGGUAAUCACUCUGGUUAUCUACGCAGGCUGUCUGGAUUCCAAUAAAUUUACCUCCAUAAGCGCUAUGGCUUCGACUUCUGCUUCAACUGUCGGCAAUGAUAAUGAAUUAAGUCUUGAUAAUCUUAUUUCCAGAAUAGACAAUUUCCUUGCCCAGAAGUCCUCCCGCCGUAAAGAAUCAAAGGGGCAUACCUUUUCUGACAUUCUCCCGCCUCUUUCUGCGGAUUUAUCUAAACUCCUCGAAGGAAUUUCGCAGGGGGCUAAAAUGAUAUCCGAUCAGAAAAAGCUGUUAUCCAACUUAUCCGGUGAAGCACAGAGGACGGCUGUGAGUGCCCUACAUGGACUCGGAAAUGCUCACUGGGCGGCAGCAGGGUUUUUAGUGAUAGCCUCUGUUUUAGAGAGGUUGGAAAAGGUUUCUUUCAAUCAGAAGGAGUGCUUGGUACUUUUGAAAAGAAUGAAUAAUCUAGCCAAAUGCAUUAGACUUCUCAAAGCUAAGUCAGGGUUAGAUCAUGAGUUGGAGAAGAAGAUAAAAGACGCUUUCCAAUUCAUAGUUCAAGGAGCAAUAAUGUGCUUUACUCAGAUUGGCAUGAGAAAAUUUUACAAGUUUUUGUUGGUUUCAAAGAAUCGGGAAGAUCUACAGCAACUUAAUUUAGAUAUACAGCAUCUUUACGAGGAUCUAACUUUACAUACAAUGAUCGCCAAUGUUGAUAACAGACCCACUGAGUUCCCCUAUCCUGAUUAUGCAAUUGGAAUAGAUCAUCAGGUGAAAACUGUUACUGAAUAUUUGGAUUGCCAAGGCGACAUGGCUGUUGUGGCUGUUGUUGUUUAUGGCGUUAGAGGGAUUGGGAAGACUACCAUUACAGAUGCUGUGUUUGCAAAUUUGAUUAAGGGACUGGAAGCUGGUUACAGAACUUCUAAUAUCGAGUUGCAUGAAGAUGUACAUCUGAGUAAGAAGAUAGAAGAAUUGCAGGCUCAAAUUUUACAUGACCUGACAGGGCAAAAGCAUGAUAUUUCUCAUUAUAAACUUGGUCAGGUUGAGUUAAACAAAUGUUUGAAGGAAGGGCCCGUCCUUUUAUAUGUAGACAAUGUUCUCAGAGAAGAAGACAUUGAACAGAUUUUACCCAAGAAACUUGACAAUCCAAAGAAAUUCAGGCUCCUUUUGACUGCUAGAAAGAGAGAUGCGGUGGCAACUCUGGAAAGUUGCGGCAUCGAGUGUUGUCAGGAUUAUGAAAUCGAACCUCUUGGUAUCGAGGCCUGCCUGGAUUUGUUGCACAGAAAAAUAGUUAUAAGUAGAGAUCAUCAAAUGCCUAAAAUUAGGCAGAUAGCAGAAAAGUGCAGCGGCAUUCCAUUGGUCCUGGAAUUGGUAGGAGGUUACUUAAGGAGGAGAAUGAGAGAGAAUAUGGGAGCUGAAGCAAUUGAAAGAGUACUUCAAGGCUUGGAAAAAGGCGAGCCUUUCAGUGGUAACACGCAGGAUAUGGGAUAUGAGCCAAAGUUUUUGUUUGGUCUUUCAUAGAGUGGUGACACGCAGGAACUGUCUUCUGCUCUACUAGUGCAAAAGAGCUUAAAGGAUUACCGGAAAGCAUCGCAGAACUCGAGUGCUUGGAGACUUUUGAGGUUAGAAGGCUGUAGAAAGUUACAGCGCUUGCCCGUUUCGGAAGGUUAAAAUCUCUAGUUGAAUUGCAGAUAUUUUGUGGGAGAUUGGAGAGGCUUCCUAACUGUACAAAGCAGUUCAAAUAGUUGUCAAGCAAUAUCCUGCUGUACCAAUGUUUUGCACUGAAACAGCUACCCGAAGAAAUUUGUGAGUUGAAUCUGGAAAUCCUAAAACUUCCCGAUUACUUUGGGUUGGAGAGGCUUCUGGAACGAUUUGUAGAGCUGAAACGUCUCAAACAUUUGAGAUUGGGUCAUUGCAAAAGUUUAAUGAGACUCUCCACUGACUUUGUCACGCUUCCAGCUCUGGAAGAGCUAAAUUUAAACGGUUGUAUCAAAUUGAAAGAGCUAUGCAGCGACUUUGAUUGCCUUCCCUCGAUAAAGAAAUUGCAUCUGAGCAGGUGUCACAAGCUAAAAGGGUUAUGGAUCGAUACCGUCAUUAAUUGUAAGGCCUUAAAUUAUGUGGAUAUUAAAGGGAGUUCCCAGCUGAAAGUCGAUGGACAGAGAUAAGAAAAGUCAGAGAUUGGGACAUUUUUGUAAAUACAUACGAGGAUAAUGAGGAUGGACGCUUGUUGAGGAAGGCGGCCUUACUGUUUUUCAACGAUGAGUGUCUUCUUUUUUAUUACCAAGCCUGCAAAUUCAAGCCCUCUACACUCCUUCCAAAAACCAAGCUAGUUCUUGUUUUUAAAUGGAGUAUUUCCACAGAUUCCUGGAAACAGUUUAUGGAAAAUAUUGAAAUUCUGAGAAAGAAAGUACCGAUUUCCAAACAAUUUACAUUAGAAAAGGAUUUCCUGUAUCUGACGGGUUUAUUCAAGCGUCAAUUGGGAGGCUAGAAGGAAUAACGUUGGGAAUACCUUGUGACUACUCCAGAGUAAGUUUGGCUUUUGAGACGUUACUUUCAAAAGUCAUAGGCCCCAGUUACAUUUACGGCAGUCCCGAGACUCCCGACUAUGCCAUUACCACGACUGUGAUGGAAGUGGAAGGCACUAAACAGUUUUCCAGAUGGGAAAAUAUAUCAAAUCUGUUCAAUGAGAGGAACUCCAAAUCAGAGAAUUACAUUCGUAUCAAAACACUGUCAGAAAUUGCACAAAGGAACAAUGUUGAAUUACUGAGAUCACUGCUAAUGACACAAGGCAAAGACUUUAUCCUGAGCAAAUCAAAAAAGGUGAGCAUUGACAGUUUGCAAGAUAAAAUGGUUCUCUUAAUCUCAAAACUGCAAAUUUUUCCAACGGAGUUUUGUAAAGAGAUGUACAUUGAAACCUGUGGCAGCCAUCAGUUCGAAAUUGUUUGGAUGCCAAUUGUGGAUCCUUAUCAUGAUACCUGGGGUCUUAUGUUAGAACUAUGGAAAAUAUGCCAUGGCCGGCAAUGGGAGAUCCUUGGUCCAUAGAACCAGCGGUACUGAAGUUUGUCAGAGAAGACCUCAACUUUCAAAAAAGUACUUUGCUGAUUGUGGUUGAAGACAAGGGGAAAAUUAGUAAUCACUAUUUCAAGGAAACGAUAGAGAGUUGGGGAGUCGAGGCCUAUCCAUUCACUUAUGAGAAGCUGGACAAACUGAGGAAGGCACAGUUGGAUGAACUUAAGGCAAAAUCAAGUGUAGAAGCUCUCUUCAAGAAUUUUGACUGUUCACUGCAGGGGAAAGAAGCUAUUCAUCAAGGCCAGCAGAUAUACUUAUAUGGUGGAGAUCCUCUGCAAAAUUGCAAAUUGUAGAUUUUACAGAUGUGUUGACUUCAUCCGGGUUUAGUGCUAGUAUUCCAAUCAUUUAUGUUGAGAGGAGACAUGCUGAAGCAGAUAACUUAAUUUCUGAAGAAGGAUUACAUUAGAGAAAUAGACAAGGCAUGCACUGGUUGAGCUUAUCCUAUGUGGAUGCCUGGAAAUUCUGGCAACGUGUCGACUAUUUGUUGGAGGAGCUGAUAGCUGCAGAUGAUAGUGAAAAUCUGGCAAAAUACAGAGUAUCAUUGGGUAUUCUUUGACUUAACAAUAGAUCAAUGAGAGGGGUGUGGAUGACAAUGGUUGAUGAAAGUGGAGAGGUGAUGAGUGAAAGUAAGAGUGCCAUAUGGAUAUGCUUAUGGAAGGAAUCAGUUGUGGAGAGAUUGAGGAUUUGUUAAAAGAGAGAUUUGAACAUGGUUUGUUUCCCCACGACCACCAUCUCCACCAUACUUUGCUGCCAUUUGUGAAAAGUCCAAUGCCUGAACAGGGGGGUGUAAUUUGCGACAUGUGUGGGAAGCUUAUCGAGAUAUCUUUCUAUUUCAAAUGCACCUCCUGUCCUUUUGACCUCUGCGCAGGAUGCUACGAUUUAUCAUCACAGCUACUCAAAACAAGACACGGGUGAAAAAGAUGCGCUUGCUGAGAGCGAGGCGAGGACAAAGAAGAUUUCUGGAAACAGGGUGAUAUGUGGGUUUCCCUAUCUGAACCAAAAAAGGGAGGGAUAAAUGUAGUAUCUCUAUCAAGACUUUCCAAUUGUAAUGGAGUCGUCUUAGUGGAUUUGUGGUUUUAAUACUAUUAUUAUUUGUUUUUAAA